ensembl:lncRNA
GAUGCUUUUCUAGGGCACAGAAAAUCUGCUUUCCUGAAGGAAAUGAAAUCUGAGUGAAAUAGCGCGUGGCAUGCAGGUAUACUAUGCUUACGCAUACGUAAGGUGGUGCCAAGUGCUAUUUGGCCAAUAGGAUUGGCGGGAUGGUACAGGGCUUCAGACAUUCAUCACACCAAAGGGUGUUGCCAUACGGUGAUGUCACCACAACAUUAAAGUGACCUAUGAAAGGGGACAUUAUUUAAAACUACAAAAAGGAGACAACAACGGAACAAGAGAAGAUGGCAUGCUGUCAAUCUCCACAAGGACUUGUACCACGGCAGAUCAACUUUGUUGGUCACAACUAGUGAUGUAUAAUGCUGUGUAGUAUAAUAAAUGAUAAGACACUUGUUCUUUGCUUUGUUUUAUUUUAUAUAAGAAGGUGUAACAUUAAAAUAUAUAAAAGUCCACAUAAACACACACAAAACUCAAGUACAUACGGAGGGGUUCUAGCAGACCAAUCACAGCACUUGUGGUCCGCAUAGAAUUGACGCACUGUUAGAUUUUUGGAGAGGUGCACAUCAGGCUACACCGUAGUACACAUAGUCUACAGCGUAGUGACGCAUAAGCAUAAAUUGGGAUUACCUGUGGAUGCACAUUUCCUUUUCAAGUGUUUUCCUCAACAAUGUACAGGGAAUUCCUGUGGCAUCUGCAUGAUGAUGGAGGAGGUGCCAUUGAUUCGCCAGUGGUGGUGCAUUCAGCUGAUGGAGAGGUUAUCUUUACAGAUAAAAUUUCAGUAUUUCAGCUGUAUUGAGUCACUGUUGGCAAAGGGAUACUACAAAUGUGUUAUACAAACAGAGUGCAUAUACAUUUACAUAUUUUACAAAGGCACGGACAGAGAUUUGCAACCAGGACAGAAGAAGCAUCCAAACUCCUUCAGGGAACCAUUGAGCCUGUCUUUAGGGUGUCAAAAUCCACCAUAACCAAACAUUCACCCAGCAGAAGAACUGUGGUUAAAGAGGACAAUGAUAAGGUAAAUGAUUGUAGUGGUCAUAUAUCAAGGAGUUGUAUGCAAGUUGGAUAAACAGUUAAAAAAAAUGUAUGCCAUUAUAUA